ensembl:lncRNA
GUGACCCUGUUAGAACUAAUGGGGUGAUCUACCAGGCUCAAAGAAUGUGGUUCACUUUGAUCACUUCCCGUACUUCUGGCAGCAACCCCAGGUCAUGUGCUCCUGUCAGCCCCAUUCUGUGGCUGGGAGUAAAGAAGCUGUGAGGUGUUCUAGAACCUGUCCAGUGAAGUGUGGCUGUUGAGUGUGGGAUGAGCGUGCCAUUCCUGCCGGGGACUCCAGGCCUGGCCAAGCCAGAACAGCUCCGGCCUCUAGGUGUGGCUCCAGGACAAUCAACCCUAGGGGAGAGCAGCUGAGGCCACACUCGUCAAAGUUGCAGAGGAAGUUUCUCUGGCAGUCAGCCUGCUCCCUCUACUUGUCUCUGUUGGUGGAGACCGAACACAAAGUGCAGUGACUCAGAAGCCUUUGAGAGGGUGACUGGGGGCCUGGCCACCGCAAGGCACAGAGGCAGUGAGAUGGAUCGACCCAAAACGACAGUGUGCUGGGGAAAGAAGAAAUCAAGGCAGAAGGAAGAAGAAAAUGAACUCCAAGAAAUUCUGCCCAGUGAGCCUCAACAGCCCAAAGACCGUUUUUCAAAAUUCAGUGGGUGGCUUAUGAAAGUCCCCAGGAAAAGAAAACCAGACACUGCUAUUCAUCAGAAAGAAACUCCCAAAGCAGGGAGAUGCUUCAGAGAGUAGGUCCCACCUCCCAGAAGUCCAUGGCCGGGAACCUCUUGGACUCAAUGAUGUUCAUUACCUGGAUGUUCCAAAUGCAGGAGAAGCUGGUGGGGCUGAUCCAGGAGCUGGUCUCAGCUGUGGGGUGUCCAAGUGGUCAAUUCAGACAAGCAGCCAGAAAGAAGUAACAGUGCAGACUUUCGCGUCUUACUGAGGUGCUACCAGCAGGCACCCGCUCCCCUGUUGCACCCCCCUAGGACCGCUGCCUGGAGGAGUUGAAAAAGUGUCUAGAAAAUGUUCUGAUCUGUGAUCAGAAAAAGUGGACCGAGUCUGCCUCCUCAGUGUUCCUUGAAAUCUACCAGCUACUGAAAGAAGCUGUAGAUGCAGUCCGACACAUUGGGCCAUCCGUCACCAGACGGGUUCAAGCCAUGGUUCUGGAAACAUUUUCAAAGUUUCUGGAAAGGGGCCAGCAUCUUCUUCACACCGCAGCUACAAGGAUAAGGCUGAAGUCUUCAUCCAGCAGAACACCAGUGACCACACCUUUCCCGAGCUGCAUGUGCUGGAAAACUGCUGCAUCCUCAGGAAGACAUGGUGGUGGCUGAGCAGGGCGCACGUUCCCUGGGCACGCUUGGACCCAGCUGUGCAAGGUGCCAUCAAAGUCAUUGAGGACCAUGGCCGGGACCACCUCCUGCCUCGAGUCAGAGCCCUGUGCCAGAGUCUGCUGAGUUGUCACUUCGGAGAGAAGAACAAGGAUCUGGUCCAAUCUCUGCGGUCCCUGUGGCAGAGCCUGGAGCACUGCCCCAACAUGCACCCUACUCCCACAUACGAGAGCCUUGUGAGGAGUCUGAAUAUGGUGGUCUUUGGGGAGUACGUCCAGGCCCUGGCUGCUUAUCUCAGGAGGCUGGUGCCCAGGACUUCGGGGCACCUCCGUGCUCAGGUGGAAACGGACAUCUGGAAGCUGGGCACCACCUUUAGGGAGCACAGGGGCCCAGCUUUGGACGAUCUACAGGAGUACAUCCUCCAGCUCAGUGAGAGCAGAGACAGACAGACUGUGGAUCAGUGGCUGGCCUCCUUCAGUGACAGUUUCCCUGGUUAUCUGAGACAGGGCAGAUCCACGGCUGUGGAGGAGGAGACUGCGAUCAGGGGACGCUCCUCAUUCUGCUGCAGACUUCUCCAGAACUUAAGGGCCUGCUGGCACCGUUGCUGCCCUAGCAGACGUGGAUGUGAGCUCUAGUUUCAGGAAUCUGCUUGUUCUUGGGGCUGUGGGAGUUAUGUGGCCCCGGUACCCAGCUAAAGCUAAGGAUCUGGGCGCCCCUGGCCACUGGAUGGCCACUUCACAAAUGGCAGCCUGAUAUCUAGAAGGAAGCCGAUCCUUCUCAAUUCUGGAUUCUUCAAUCAGAAAGAACUCUGAGAACUGAC